UGCACACUAGCCUCGCUUUGAAACUAAGAUAUUAAUUGCAUUAUUGCGUGGUCUGGGGCUGGAAAAUUCCUAACGAAAUAACGAUAAAAAUAAUGAUAACGCUUUAUUAUAAGUGGCUGAAUGUAGUUUAGUCAAAAUGACAACCGAAGAGAAAUCAGCUAACCAAUUUAUUUCUGCUCUGGUGAAGAAUUUACAAGCUGUGUGCCACGGCCAUGUUGAUUUUGAUAAAAAUGUGAAAGUUGUGGGCCAUCUGUAUUUAACUGUUGACAGUAACUCAGAAUUUAAUUACAUCGUUAAUGAAAAAGUGUCAAAAAGUGAUGAAUCUUCAACAACAUUUAUCAGUAAAAGUUUUUAUGCCACUGAUCCCCAACAAAAAACACCAAAGAAAAAUGUAGAUAGACCUCUUCCUCCUCCCACUCCAAAUGUGUUGGGGAAAACUCGAUAUGAUAUUAGUGUUGAUUUAACUGAUGACCAUCCACCUGGUGCAAUGGGUGGAGGGCGUUAUCAAAUGGGACAGCAGCGUGGUCAAUUUUCCAGGCCUGGUGGUUUUCCUGUAAGAGCACCACAGAUGAGGCGUAGGCCUUUUGAUCCAAGAAUGUCACCCCAACAAAUGGCUAAAAUGCCACGUUUAUCAUCCCCCCAGCGUCACCCAAUGAACUUCCCAUCAACAUCACCUCGAAAAAUGCCCCCAAAUUUAUCUCAUAGACUAAAUGCUCCAUCAUCCACUUUACCGUCCAUAUCUAGUGAAACAAAUUCAUCUCCAUCAUCUAUUCCACCUGAAUCAGUUUCAGCUACUCCAGCUCAAUCUCUUCCUGGUGCUGAUAAACCAGAAAGGGAAUCCGGUGAUAAGGAAAAAGUUGGAGAAAAAACAGCGGAAAAACCUGACAUUAAAUUUGAAGUGAUAAAAGUAGAAAAUGGUAGUGUUGUAGCUAGUAAUAAAGAUGCAACAAGUGAAGGAGAAGAAAAAGAACUUAGAAUAGAAUCUGUGACUAGUCAUGAUUUAUCAUUUGUGCCUGAAACUGAAAAAGACAAAGACAGUGAAAGUAAAAAUAGUGAAACUAGUGACUCUGAUAAACCGGCAUCAGAUCCUCCUCCAGAAACUCUUUCAACAGAAACAACAGAAACAGCGGAACCAAGUACACCAAAUAAAAGUCCUCCAAAAUCAAACGAACCUGAAGUCAUAGAAAUAGAUUUAACUAAAGUAAAAGAUGAAAUUGACAGCGUUUUAGAAUCAGAUGCAGGGUACAUGUUUGAUUCCAGUCAAGGGCAACAAUCAUUCUCAGGGGCACAAGGUGAUAGCAGUCUUUCUAGUUACGGCGGUGAAUCAAAUGAUGAUGAAUUUUUCGCUAGUUUACGUGAACAAAGUUUAGGACUUUAUCCUGUUGGUUUACAUGCAAACGAAACUAAUAAUCCUAGUCAAAAUUACAGCGGUUCUCUUCCUAACUUACCCGGUGCACAUUCUGAAGGCGCUUAUUUACCAGUUGCUGGUACAAGCGCCUCUUCAUCUCAAAAUAAUCAACAGGUAAUGAAAUUGAGGCCGUUGUCAGUGAAUGGAAGACUACAAUGUCCUAUUUGUCGUAAAUUAUUUGCUCAUGGUGGUAGUCUGCGUUUGCACAUUAAAGAAAUUCAUAUCAUGGAGCAAUCUCAGCCGUGCCAAUUCUGUGGGAGGAGAUUUACAAGAAAUGCUUCUUUGUUACGCCAUCUAAGAACUGCUCAUCGCAGCAUGUCAGACUAAGUACAUGGAGAAUUAUCAGACUCUACUAAAUACCAAUGUCCCAUUUGUUUUAAAUUUUUUUCCAAGUCCGGCAGUGUUCGUAAUCAUGUCAGAGAAAUUCAUAUCAGACAGGAAUCUCAACCAUGCCGGCAUUGUGGAAGAAGAUUUACAAGAAAUGCUUCCUUGUUACGGCAUCUUCGUAAUGCUCAUCAUGAUUUUUCUGCCUAAGUAUCUGUAUCAAGGGAGCAUUCAACUCAAGGCAAUCACCAGUGUCCUGUUUGUUUUAGAUUUUUUGGUCACGUCCGUAGUCUUUAUAAUCAUAAUCGAGAAGUCCACAGAGGGGUUGUUUCACGCCCAUGCCAAUAUUGUGGACGGAGGUUUACUAGAAAUAGUUCUUUAGUACGACACCUGCGAACAGCUCAUCAACAAUUUUAGAUUAAGUGCGUGUGCCGGCUUCAAUGACCCAACUAUCAUCUGGUAAAUAUCAGUGUCCCGAUUGUUUUAAACUUUUUGUGCAUAUCAGUAGUCUUAAUAAUCACAAGCGAGAAAUUCAUAGAGGAUUUGUAUCUCGCCCAUGUCAGUAUUGUGGAAGACAGUUUACAAGGAAUGGUUCUUUAAUUCGGCAUCUAAGAACGGCACAUCAAGGAACUAAAAACUAAGUACCAAUAUCAGUGAAGCAGUCAACUUCUGGCAAACACCAAUGUCCCAUUUGUAAAAAACUUUUCCACCGCGAUAGCCUUCAUAACCAUCUGAGAGAAAUUCAUAUGGGUGGUGUAUCUCGACCAUGUCAAUUUUGCGGCAAAACAUUUACAAGAAAUGGAUCGUUAAAACGUCAUCUACGAACCACGCAUCAAAACCAGCUGUAAUAUAAAUUGGUAUUCGUGAAAAGAAAGUUAUCUGUAUGUGUGGAAAGAUUUAUGUCAGCAAAACAUCCUGGAGAGAACAUUUUCGAUCCGUCCAUCAACAUGUUCCUCGUGGACCAACAUGUCCAGUCUGCGGUCAGAGAUUCUCCAGACCAUGCCGACUUGAAAAUCAUAUCCAGAAAGUUCAUAGCAAACGGUCAUGAUUUGAUUGUUCCCUGUACAUUCUAUUUAAAAGUCUCUGGAAAAGUUUUGGAAAUAUAAGUCUCAAUCCACAGUAAAAUGUAAUCAAAUACAUUAUUUAACAUGUAAUUAAGAAAAUAUCACGCAGGCCUGGCGGAGUGGGGGGGGGGGGGCUAGCCCCCCAAUAAUUUGGCCACAAGUACUCUUUUCUCCAGGUUAUUGCGACCCCUGGACCCACGCCUAUAAGGACCUAGGAUGGAAGCCCCCCCAAUCAAGAAUUGCUUCCGCCGGCCCUGUCAAGGGUAGCGGGCCCGUAACUAGGAUGGGGGGGUACAAGGCGGGGGCAAAGCCACUCCCUGCAAAAAGGUUACCCCGCCCCCCACCCGCUGUGGAAUAAUUUUCGACCAUAAAAACAACAGAUAUACAUGUAUAUUGUCCAUCAAUAUUACAGCACCCCUGAGAACACUUCCCGCCCCCCCCCCCCCCCCCCCAUUGCUCUGAGCUAGUUACGGCCCUGAAAGGUAGUAGAUACUUUCCUGGCUUGGAUUCAAUGGAAUUAAAAAAAUGUCUAAAGAUUUUAUCUAACAUGUAUAGGUGGCGCUGGCUUGUUUUGUCUAUAUCCUAUAUUUUGUCUGCAGUACAUGCUGAUUGUUGACAAAUUUGCAAUUCAUCGUAUCUUUGUAAAUACUGAAUGAAAUUGAACCAUUUUAUUUAGAGAUCCAACUUUCACAACCCUCAACUAACUAUCGGAGACUUUGUUUUAUACUUAGAUAUGUUUAAGCCUUUCGUUACCUUGAAGUCCCCGUCAGGCCUGGUGGCCGGGUCCAUUCUAUGCCUAGAUUAGCCUAGACUAUCAACGACCAUAGUUACCAAGAUGACUAAAAGCAAAUUGUCAUUAGGUGGCACCCCCUUACCGGGUCAACACUCAUUUGUAGUCAUCACCCAUACAAAUUUAUUAUUAGAAGAGCUAUAGUAGAAAUAGUGACCAGUAACGAAAGCGUUCUCAAGGGGUUUUUUGUUAGGUGUCAACCAAUUUCCCAUAAUUGGUGAUAUCCUUAAAAGUAUAUAGCUAAAUAUUUUAAUUGAUGUAAAUGUUGCUGUUGAAUUUAUGAGAUUGGCAAGGUCUUCUACUUUAUGUUAGGUGUCAGUAAAUCAGCUUCCGAUAUUGGUGAUCAUUUAUAAAAUACUUAAUUGAAGUCAUUAUUGCCUGUUCUAUAUUUUGUAAUUCUUGUAUAUAUAUAUAUGUGUAACAGGUACCAGUGUAACCCUGGUAUCAUUUAAUCUUGUGUAUCUAACACUAAUUUCUUUCACAUUCAUUUAAUAUCAAAUCUUUGUUUAAAAAUUCUUGUAAUUCUUGUAUAUAUAUAUAUAUGUGUAACUGGUGUACUCUAUAUUUUGUAAUUCUUGUAUAUAUAUAUAUAUAUAUAUAUAUAUAUAUAUAUGUGUGUAACUGAUGUGCUCUAUAUUUUGUAUUCUUGUAUAUAUAAAUGUGUAACUGGUGUACUCUAUAUUUUGUAAUUCUUGUAACCAGUAUAAACAUGUACAUAGGAUAUAUAAUUGUUUAAUUCAUCUACACAUGAGUGUGUAUAACAAUCGGUCAGUAGAGUUUAAAAUUUGUGUAUUUACAUUUUCAUUCAUGCCAAUUUGUAUGUUUGCUCUUAUUACAGAAGAUUUUUAACCAUUUUAAAAUUAUUAUAUUGUUUAAUAACUAGACAAAUAUA